rnacentral:sRNA from 1 species
UGAGUUAACACUUGACAUACCUUACGCC